UACGUAGGGCGCAAGCGUUAUCCGGAAUUAUUGGGCGUAAAGAGCUCGUAGGCGGCUUGUCACGUCGGGUGUGAAAGCCCGGGGCUUAACCCCGGGUCUGCAUUCGAUACGGGCUAGCUAGAGUGUGGUAGGGGAGAUCGGAAUUCCUGGUGUAGCGGUGGAAUGCGCAGAUAUCAGGAGGAACACCGGUGGCGAAGGCGGGUCUCUGGGCAGUAACUGACGCUGAGGAGCGAAAGCGUGGGGAGCGAACAGG
rnacentral:rRNA from 1 species